UACGGGGGGGGCAAGCGUUGUUCGGAAUUACUGGGCGUAAAGGGCUCGUAGGUGGCCAACUAAGUCAGACGUGAAAUCCCUCGGCUUAACCGGGGAACUGCGUCUGAUACUGGAUGGCUUGAGUUUGGGAGAGGGACGCGGAAUUCCAGGUGUAGCGGUGAAAUGCGUAGAUAUCUGGAGGAACACCGGUGGCGAAGGCGGCGUCCUGGACCAACACGGACACUGAGGAGCGAAAGCCAGGGGAGCAAACGGG
rnacentral:rRNA from 1 species